rnacentral:RNase_P_RNA from 1 species
GCAGUGUUCCGGCUCUGUCGCCGGCACCUAUGGGUGCGGGAGGAAAGUCCGGGCAGCGUGAGGGUACCCUGCUUCCGAAAGUAGAAGCUAUCGGCGACGGUAGGCGACGCAGAAGAAAACAACCGCCUCAGCUGGCUUCCCGCCUAAUCGAGUUUCAAGAUAAAGCUGGAACCAGUUCGGGGUAAGGGUGAGAAGGUGGUGUAAGAGACCACCAGCCGCCGGGAGACCGUGCGGGCUGUGCUAACCAGGGGCUGCAAAUUCAUGUAAACCACCGAUACAGGAAACCCGCCCGAGUUCCCCUUCGGGAGAUGCGGUGGAGGGUAGAAUGCUUGAGCCGUCGGGCGACCGGCGGAGUAGAUAAAUGACAGGCACCGCACUAUUAUCGAAAGAUGAGUGCGGGACAAAACCCGGCUUAUAGGAACGACUGCUUUC